rnacentral:rRNA from 1 species
AUAUUGGAGGGCAAGUCUGGUGCCAGCAGCCGCGGUAAUUCCAGCUCCAAUAGCGUAUAUUAAAGUUAUUGCGGUUAAAAAGCUCGUAGUUGGAUCUCAGUUCAAGCCAGGCGGUCCACUUGCCAGUGGCUACUGCUUGGCUGAACACAUUACUGAGUUGUCGUAUAGUGCUCUUCACCGAGUGUUAUAUGCGAUCAGUACGUUUACUUUGAAAAAAUUAGAGUGCUCAACACAGGCCUGUGGGCUCGAAUAAUGUUGCAUGGAAUAAUGGAAUAGGACCUCGGUUCUAUUUUGUUGGUCUUCGGAAUCCGAGGUAAUGAUUAAGAGGGACAGACGGGGGCAUUCGUAUUGCAACGCUAGAGGUGAAAUUCUUGGACCGUUGCAAGACGAACUAAAGCGAAGGCAUUUGCCAAGAAUGUUUUCAUUAAUCAAGAACGAAAGUUAGCGGAUCGAAGGCGAUUAGAUACCGCCCUAGUGCUAACCAUAAACGAUGCCAA